rnacentral:rRNA from 1 species
UACGUAGGGCGCAAGCGUUAUCCGGAAUUAUUGGGCGUAAAGAGCUCGUAGGCGGUUUGUCGCGUCUGCCGUGAAAGUCCGGGGCUCAACUCCGGAUCUGCGGUGGGUACGGGCAGACUAGAGUGAUGUAGGGGAGACUGGAAUUCCUGGUGUAGCGGUGAAAUGCGCAGAUAUCAGGAGGAACACCGAUGGCGAAGGCAGGUCUCUGGGCAUUAACUGACGCUGAGGGGCGAAAGCAUGGGGAGCGAACAGG